rnacentral:rRNA from 1 species
UACGUAGGGUGCGAGCGUUAAUCGGAAUUACUGGGCGUAAAGCGUGCGCAGGCGGUUUUGUAAGCCAGAUGUGAAAUCCCCGGGCUUAACCUGGGAAUGGCAUUCAAAACUGCACGGCUAGAGUAUUGGAGAGGAAGGUAGAAUUCCAGGUGUAGCGGUGAAAUGCGUAGAGAUCUGGAGGAAUACCGAUGGCGAAGGCAGCCUUCUGGCCAAAUACUGACGCUGAGGUGCGAAAGCAUGGGGAGCAAACAGG